UGUGACCUCAAAUCAGGUAGGACUACCCGCUGAACUUAAGCAUAUCAAUAAGCGGAGGAAAAGAAACUAACAAGGAUUCCCCUAGUAACUGCGAGUGAAGCGGGAAAAGCUCAAAUUUAAAAUCUGGCAGCCUUUGGUUGUCCGAGUUGUAAUCUAGAGAAGUGUUAUCCGCGCUGGACCGUGUACAAGUCUCCUGGAAUGGAGCGUCAUAGAGGGUGAGAAUCCCGUCUUUGACACGGAUUGCCAGGGCUUUGUGAUGCGCUCUCAAAGAGUCGAGUUGUUUGGGAAUGCAGCUCAAAAUGGGUGGUAAAUUCCAUCUAAAGCUAAAUAUUGGCGAGAGACCGAUAGCGAACAAGUACCGUGAGGGAAAGAUGAAAAGAACUUUGGAAAGAGAGUUAAACAGUACGUGAAAUUGCUGAAAGGGAAACGCUUGAAGUCAGUCGCGUUGUCCAGGGAUCAACCUUGCUUUUGCUUGGUGCACUUUCUGGUUGACGGGUCAGCAUCAAUUUUGACUAUUGGAAAAAGAUUAGGGGAAUGUGGCAUCUUUGGAUGUGUUAUAGCCCUUAGUUGCAUACAAUGG
rnacentral:rRNA from 2 species